UUGGAGGGCAAGUCUGGUGCCAGCAGCCGCGGUAAUUCCAGCUCCAAUAGCGUAUAUUAAAGUUGUUGCAGUUAAAAAGCUCGUAGUUGAAUUUCGGGGUCAGCAGGUUGGUCGUGCCAAUGGUAUGAACUGGCCUUGCUGAUUCCUCCCUCUUGAUGAGCCGUAAUGCCAUUAAUUUGGUGUUGCGGGGAGUCAGGACUGUUACUUUGAAAAAAUUAGAGUGUUUAAAGCAGGCAAGCGCUUGAAUACAUUAGCAUGGAAUAAUGAAAUAGGACGUUUGAUCCUAUUUUGUUGGUUUCUAGGAUUGACGUAAUGAUUAAUAGGGAUAGUUGGGGGCAUUAGUAUUCAAUUGUCAGAGGUGAAAUUCUUGGAUUUAUUGAAGACUGACUACUGCGAAAGCAUUUGCCAAGGAUGUUUUCAUUAAUCAAGAACGAAAGUUAGGGGAUCGAAGACGAUCAGAUACCGUCGUAGUCUUAACCAUAAACUAUGCCGACUAGGGAUCGGAUGAUGUUAAUUUUUUAAUGACUCAUUCGGCGCCUUACGGGAAAC
rnacentral:rRNA from 1 species